GUACUUAUUUAAUGCCGGGAACUCUGAGAUCAGGAAGGCGGAGACCCCAGGAGGAGGCCCUUCCAUUGCUCUUCGGAAAAGCUGAUACCUGCUACUCUCCUAAACUGGGAAAAAUGGGCAUGUGAUUUUUGGUAGAUUUUGCUAAUUAAUCAUACGAAUU
rnacentral:snRNA from 13 species